rnacentral:rRNA from 1 species
UACAGAGGUCUCAAGCGUUGUUCGGAUUCAUUGGGCGUAAAGGGUGCGUAGGUGGUGAUGCAAGUCUGGUGUGAAAUCUCGGAGCUCAACUCCGAAAUUGCACCGGAUACUGCGUGACUCGAGGACUGUAGAGGAGAUCGGAAUUCACGGUGUAGCAGUGAAAUGCGUAGAUAUGCGGAGGAACACCGAUGGCGAAGGCAAUCCCCUGGACCUGUACUCGACGCUCAUGCACGAAAGCGUGGGGAGCAAACAGG